AGACUAAGUAAGGAGAGGUUACAGGAGCACGCAAUGAGAAGGCAGCUCUCUGCAAGCCAGGAAAAGAGCUCUCGCCAUAAAUCAAAUCGACUGGCACCUUAAUCUUGAACUUCCAGUCUCCAGAGCUGUUGGGUUAUCUCAGAAGCAGAACCUGAGACAAGAAAGUGAGUGGAAGCAGUUUAUUUGGGAGAAAGUCCCAGGAAGCACUGCAUUCAUUCCCAUCAUUUCUCAGUCAGAAGAUGAGAGAGAUACACAUAUGCACUCAGUACAUAUAUUCUAUCUUUAUCUGGAGGUUUUGAUCAAAAGCAUCCCGAUUCCCCCCAGCUUACACUCUUGGAUCACUGACUCUGAGGGAAGCCAACUACCCUAUUGUGAAGCUACACACCAGCUCUGAAGUGAGAUCCACAAGAUGAUUCUGUGAGCCGUCACAAGGAAUGAAAGCCUCCAGACAACAGCUGCAUGAGACAGUUAGAAAGAGGACCCUCUAGCACCUGUCAAGUCUCUAGAUGGCAAAACCUGAGCCAGAACCACCCAGCUAAGCUUCUCCCAGGUUCUUGGCUCACAAAAGCUGUGAAAAGAAAUGUUUGUUCUUUUAAGCCAUUGAGUUUUGGGGUAAUUUGUUAAGUGGCAGUAGAUAACUAUUAAUAAUAAAAUUGUAUUAGAUUUUUCCA
rnacentral:lncRNA from 1 species